UUUAUGGAGAGUUUGAUCCUGGCUCAGGAUGUACGCUGGCGGCGUGCCUAAUACAUGCAAGUCGAGCGAACGGACGAGAAGCUUGCUUCUCUGAUGUUAGCGGCGGACGGGUGAGUAACACGUG
rnacentral:rRNA from 1 species